CAAAUGAGGCGAGAGGGGCCUCCGUCAGGGGGAAGACUGACAGCCCAACACACACCGCAUGACAUCACGCACAAUGACACGCCAAGGACAACCAUCUCAGAAGCACUCAGCCAAUCAGACGCUGGCGGUAGAGCAGCCCUGGAAGUCGCUCCCGAGUGAAAGACGGAUGGCAGCAGGCCUGAAGUUUAAAGGUGUUUCAAGGACUUCCUGGUCCAAUGAGACAAACAUGGACUGAAUCUGCUGCAGCUGGAACCAGGUGAGCCUCCAGGUUUUGCUGUCUGUGACCCUCACAGACGAAGAGGAUCCUUCUGGACCCUCAGCAGUCACACAGAGACCAGCAUCUCCAGACUGCAGCCUGAAAACAGGAGGCCAGACGUCUCUGAAGCACCGACGCACAGCUGAGGCGAGGAAGACAAAGAGCUGAGAGGAAGAGCUGCUGAAGUCCCGACGUGCUCGUGUUUGUUUCUAAACGCUGGAAGUUUCUCAUCUGCAGACAAACUGCAGGCUUUGACGUCCACACACAGUUACUGUACAUCCUUUUAUUUCUUUCCAUCCUGCUGCAGAUGACUCAGAGUUUCCUCACAGGAUCGUUAAAGUUUCACGUCCUCGUUCUUCAUCUUCAGGGAAAAGGACAAUAAUCCCAUUUAUGUUCUAAGAGACGAUCACAGUGAAGACAAUCAGGAGAAUGAUCUCACCAUGAGGUCCAUUUAUUAGCUGUCUUAAAGCUUUCGAUCGUAUCACCUGGUCUUCAUCAGCAGAUGGACACAGGUAUACUGUGCAGGUAAUAAAUGUCUGUGUUUUGUCCCUCGGGGCCGUUCAUGUGGAUUAUUUGAUGCAAUAACAAUAGAAUAUAAUAAUCAAGCUGUGUUACAGUAUUUUGUAGUGUUACUACUAUUUUGUCCACCCUGCACCUGAUGUUACUGCAGAGAGGAAAGAAGAAAAACCACAGUUAAAAGAAAUACUGCAGUAGAAGUAAAAAUCCUGUGUGCAAAAUUAUGUAAUACUACAAAAAAUAUCAGAGCAAAAUUUAUUUAAAGUAUCAAAAAUAAAGAACAGUCUUUUUCAGGUCUCAUAUAUCUAUUAUGUAAGGGAUAAUGCGGACGGUUCACGCCUCCGCGUCGUCCAUUAAUUUCUGAUAAUGGACACCUGGAAGGGCAUUAUCCCGCUUAUACCAUGGUCACUUA